rnacentral:rRNA from 1 species
UCCUACGGGGGGGCAGCAGGCGCGAAAACUUUACAAUGCGGGAAACCGUGAUAAGGGGACACCGAGUGCUAGCAUCAUAUGCUGGCUGUCCAGGUGUGUAAAAUACACCUGUUAGCAAGGGCCGGGCAAGACCGGUGCCAGCCGCCGCGGUAACACCGGCGGCCCGAGUGGUGAUCGUGAUUAUUGGGUCUAAAGGGUCCGUAGCCGGUUUGGUCAGUCCUCCGGGAAAUCUGACAGCUCAACUGUUAGGCUUUCGGGGGAUACUGCCAGACUUGGAACCGGGAGAGGUAAGAGGUACUACAGGGGUAGGAGUGAAAUCUUGUAAUCCCUGUGGGACCACCUGUGGCGAAGGCGUCUUACCAGAACGGGUUCGACGGUGAGGGACGAAAGCUGGGGGCACGAACCGGAUUAGAUACCCGGGUAGUCCCAGCCGUAAACGAUGCUCGCUAGGUGUCAGGCAUGGCGCGACCGUGUCUGGUGCCGCAGGGAAGCCGUGAAGCGAGCCACCUGGGAAGUACGGCCGCAAGGCUGAAACUUAAAGGAAUUGGCGGGGGAGCACAACAACGGGUGGAGCCUGCGGUUUAAUUGGACUCAACGCCGGACAACUCACCGGGGACGACAGCAAUAUGUAGGCCAGGCUGAAGACCUUGCCUGAAUCGCUGAGAGGAGGUGCAUGGCCGUCGCCAGUUCGUACUGUGAAGCAUCCUGUUAAGUCAGGCAACGAGCGAGACCCGUGCCCACUGUUACCAGCAUGUCCUCCGGGAUGAUGGGUACUCUGUGGGGACCGCCGGUGUUAAAUCGGAGGAAGGUGCGGGCUACGGUAGGUCAGUAUGCCCCGAAUUUCCCGGGCUACACGCGGGCUACAAUGAAUGGGACAAUGGGCCCCUCCCUGAAAGGGCUGGUAUCUCACAAACCCAUCCUUAGUUCGGAUCGAGGGCUGUACUCGCCUCGUGAGCUGGAAUCCGUAGUAAUCGCGUUUCAAUAUAGCGCGGUGAUACGUCCUGUCUG